UGUGUCCCCUUCCUCUCACAG
rnacentral:miRNA from 1 species